GCAUUUCCCACCUUUUCUUUCUAUUUCCCUCUUAUUUUUUUAGCAAAAAAUUCCUUACAACUUUUAGCUGUUCAAUUGGUAACCUUCAUCGGCGACGAUGGCAGCUCCUCAACUUCAGGCCAAUUUCCGAUUCCGAUGUUUCUUCGCUUCCCAACGCCCAUGCUUUAAAGACACUGAACAAUGUAAGAUUGAUGUGCCUAAAAGCUCAGAUGAAAGGAUACUAUCCCUAAAUAUCAAGAAGUUGCUGAGAAGGUCAGUUCUGCAACUUGUUGGAUUGAGUCCCAUCUUCACAAGUCUUCGUUCUGGCUUAUCUGCACCAAUGCAAGAGAUGAGAGAAUCUGAUGUUAUCCGGACCCUAAAGCUUGAUAGUGGAGUGAGGCUACAAGAUAUUGUUGAAGGGGAAGGACCAGAGGCUCGCGAAGGGGAUAUCGUUGAAAUUAAUUAUGUUUGCCGACGAUCAAAUGGAUAUUUUGUCCACAGUACGGUGGACCAAUUCAGUGGAGAGAGUGCCCCCGUCAUACUUCCUCUGGAUGAUAAACAGGUCAUGGUAUUUGCUAGCUUUGGGCUUAAAAUAGAAAUUCUAAAGAUAAUAAAAGGUCUGAAAGAAGUCCUUAUUGGAAUGAAGCCCGGAGGAAAAAGAAGAGCACUGAUACCGCCUUCCGUUGGAUACAUCAAUGAAAACUUACAGCCAGUACCUGAAGAGUUUGGACCAAGGCGUAGCCUUAUGUCUCACAUGAAGGAGCCUCUAAUUUUUGAAGUGCAGCUGUUGAAAGUUCUAUGAGUACCAUAUGAAUGUUUAGUGAUUAACCAUCCUAUGUCGUCCACCGAGUUAUUGAUAGUGUGCAAACUGAUCACAAUAUCACCCAUCCAAGAAAAAGAAGAUGGUCACCACGCUCCAUUACAAAUUUGACAUUUUCCCUACCAAGAAAGUGAUUCAUUUCUGAGGACGAUUCCCAAUAUGGUUUUAUCAAAAUCAUUUUCAGAGACUUAAACCUGAGAUUUUUAUUAAAGGUUGAAGAAUUUCAACCGUUGAGUACAAGCCUCCAUAUUUUUUUUUUGGUUACAUUAGAAACACUAUAAUAUAUCACAUGACUCAAGUCUGUAAGCAUCUCCCUAAAUUAGCAAGUCCCUAUCGGCUAUCUACAUACUUAUCUAUACUUCACAAAAAUAGUAAGUCGACCCCACUUGUAUUCUAACUAAAAAUGUGUUGGAUUUUGAACCAUUUCUAACUAAUCUGA